rnacentral:rRNA from 1 species
AGUGAACGCUGGCGGCAGGCCUAAUACAUGCAAGUCGAACGGCAGCACAGUGGAGCUUGCUCCAUGGGUGGCGAGUGGCGGACGGGUGAGGAAUACAUGGGAAUCUGCCCAGUCGUGGGGGAUAACGUAGGGAAACUUACGCUAAUACCGCAUGCGCCCUUCGGGGGAAAGCCGGGGACCUUCGGGCCUGGCGCGAUUGGAUGAGCCCAUGUUCGAUUAGCUAGUUGGCGGGGUAAAGGCCCACCAAGGCGACGAUCGAUAGCUGGUCUGAGAGGAUGAUCAGCCACACUGGGACUGAGACACGGCCCAGACUCCUACGGGAGGUAGCAGUAGGGAAUAUUGGACAAUGGGCGCAAGCCUGAUCCAGCCAUGCCGCGUGAGUGAAGAAGGCCCUCGGGUUGUAAAGCUCUUUUGUCUGGGAAGAAAAGCAUCGGGCUAAUACCUCGGUGUUCUGACGGUACCGGAAGAAUAAGCACCGGCUAACUUCGUG